GAGGUGACAAACGCAUGCACGAGGGUUUCGGCUGCAUUUGGAUGAUUUUGAAUCACUCACUCAAUAUCCUGGCUAUGAGUCAAGAGAAAUGCUAUUCCAUUAUCUCCUGAUGUGGGAGCAGUAUUUAAGUCACACACAGGUCAGGCUUUUUAAAGGUUGCCUUAGUUCAAAAUUUUCCAGACUUCUCAAAGAACUGAAGGAAGACCUGACACAGCAUUCUGUCAUCCUCUAACACCUCAUGGAGAUCAGAGGGGUUAGAUAAACAACGUAUGCAGCUGCCUGUGCAUCUGGCACACGACUGACCAGGGUAGAGCAUUAAGCCACAAGAUAAACACAAUCCAUCGUUAGAGCAGAACCUCCGGGAACUGAUGUGAACAUUUUGAACUUGACUCAUAAAAAGUGUUCAGGAUAAGACUGGAUAAGAAUACCUGAUAAAUGCUGGAUUUAUUUUAGCAUUUUACAUUGUAGCUAAACACAAUAGUUUUAUUUUUCUGUGUGCAAUGGGCU